AUGCACGCUGGCGGCGUGCCUAAUACAUGCAAGUCGAGCGAACGGACGAGAAGCUUGCUUCUCUGAUGUUAGCGGCGGACGGGUGAGUAACACGUGGAUAACCUACCUAUAAGACUGGGAUAACUUCGGGAAACCGGAGCUAAUACCGGAUAAUAUUUUGAACCGCAUGGUUCAAAAGUGAAAGACGGUCUUGCUGUCACUUAUAGAUGGAUCCGCGCUGCAUUAGCUAGUUGGUAAGGUAACGGCUUACCAAGGCAACGAUGCAUAGCCGACCUGAGAGGGUGGUCGGCCACACUGGAACUGAGACACGGUCCAGACUCCUACGGGAGGCAGCAGUAGGGAAUCUUCCGCAAUGGGCGAAAGCCUGACGGAGCAACGCCGCGUGAGUGAUGAAGGUCUUCGGAUCGUAAAACUCUGUUAUUAGGGAAGAACAUAUGUGUAAGUAACUGUGCACAUCUUGACGGUACCUAAUCAGAAAGCCACGGCUAACUACGUG
rnacentral:rRNA from 1 species